UACGGAGGGGGCGAGCGUUAUUCGGAAUUAUUGGGCGUAAAGGGCGCGUAGGCGGCUUGAUGUGUCAAAGGUGAAAUCCCUCGGCUCAACUGAGGAACUGCCUUUGAAACUGUCUGGCUUGAGGCCGGGAGAGGGUAGCGGAAUUCCCAGUGUAGCGGUGAAAUGCGUAGAUAUCGUGAGGAACACCAGAGGCGAAGGCGGCUACCUGGACAAUUGCUGACGCUCAGGCACGAAAGCGUGGGGAGCAAAAGGG
rnacentral:rRNA from 1 species